rnacentral:lncRNA from 1 species
UCUUUGGAAGUAAACAUGUUAUACAAUUUGGUUGGUGAAUCAGGAAUACAGAGAUGAACCUUUCCAUCAGAGCAAUAGAAGUCUUUACUCUCUAUAAAAUUUUAUUGCACCACAAUAUUUACAGCUAUUGCAUGUCAAUAAUAUAUAUGAAGUUGGUGGUAUGUUCAGUACAUUAAAAUUAAUUCGUAAUGCAGAAUUGGAAAUAUCAUGCGUCUCUUGAUUUGAAGUAGAAGCCUCAAAAUCAUGGUGCAUUAUAGAUUGCUGCAUUUUUUCAAUACUAGAAUUAUUAAUUUCAGAUGACAAGGGAUCAUUUAUCGUCUUGCGAUGAUGAUUGCAUCCAGUUCUAAGUCGAUUUCGCCUAUCCCUUUGCCUUCGGUUUUGUUGUUGGCGAUGGGACAUUGUUUCGAAAUUCAGAGAACCAGUCACUCCAUUAGAACAUGUUUUCGAAACAUCCAUGAAAACAAUUAGAUAACUUAUUGAAUAGUUGGAGCCCAAGGUAACCAACAGGAACUAAAAAAAUUGAAAAAAAGGCUAUUAGUACAUAUAUUACAUCACACAUAUGUGGAAAUUAAACUUUCAAGUAAACUAAAUCUGCCUAAAUAGAAUUGUUUAAAACAUUAACAUAUUCACAAUAUGUAAAAACAUGAUAACUAACAUAGCACAAAUUGCACUUUCUAAAACAUACAAAGUAUAAACAUCCAAACUAGCAAUAAGGAAAAGGUUAUCAUUAUGUUAUUUGCUAUUUCUAGUAUUUAAUUAUGCAGUUUAUUGACAGCCUAAAAGAUUAAAAAAAUGAGUUUGUAUAAUUUAAUACAAAAAUAUAAAAAUUAAUUUCUAGUUCAUAAUUUCUGAACCUAUAUGAAGCAUUUUCUGCGCGUUCUAAUGCUGCUAUGUGAUAAAGAAUUAAUUUCAUUAAAUAAAGACAGUUAUCAAACAACUAAAAUAAAAUUGUACAAAGCAGAAACAGAAGUAAUUAAUCUUUAUAAUCUAGGAACAUAUAGAGCUUGAAGUUUUAAAGGAAUGCUAAAUAACAAAGUCAGAUGAAAAGUGGAAGAUGUGAAUAUGUACCCUGAAUUGAACUUUUAUAUAGUUUUUGUAAAUUAUAUACAGGUGUUUGGGAGAUUUUUUAGUAUGUGCGGCACAAUUGUUAAGCCUACAAGAAAAGAAUGAAUUCAUAUGUUAGUACAUAUUGGAAAAACACAAAUGAAAAAUCAUCAUCCUUUUAGAAAUGUAGAAGUUAAGUAUAUGCUUUUGUUACGGUUAUACAGAAAAAAACAUAAAACCAAUUUUAACACAUGGAAAUGCCACAUAUAGUUUUUGAUUAACACUUAGAACUCCCAUCAUCAUUUUUACUGAAAGAAAGCGUUCUAAAUUUAAACCCAAAUAGAAUAAA